rnacentral:rRNA from 1 species
UACAGAGGGUGCAAGCGUUAAUCGGAAUUACUGGGCGUAAAGCGUGCGCAGGCGGUUCGCUAAGACCGAUGUGAAAUCCCCGGGCUUAACCUGGGAACUGCAUUGGUGACUGGCGGGCUAGAGUAUGGCAGAGGGGGGUAGAAUUCCACGUGUAGCAGUGAAAUGCGUAGAGAUGUGGAGGAAUACCGAUGGCGAAGGCAGCCCCCUGGGCCAAUACUGACGCUCAUGCACGAAAGCGUGGGGAGCAAACAGG